AUUUAUAUAAUAUAAAUAUUAUAUUUGACUUCCAAUCAAAAAAUUUAAACAAAAAUUUAAUAUAAAUA
rnacentral:tRNA from 1 species